rnacentral:lncRNA from 1 species
AGCUUGCCUCAGAAGCGUCGCGGAGAAGGGGCCACCUCAGGUGAAGCGCGCUUGUGGAGGAGUUGUGGAGGACGCCUGUCGACGACCAGUAACUGGUCCUCGGCCAUUGCGUCAGGAAGCAUCUAAAUAUGGUGUCCUCCGGAAAAAAGUAUUCCAGGAAAUCUGGGAAGCCGUCUGUGGAAGAUCAGUUUACGAGAGCCUAUGACUUUGAGACUGAAGAUAAGAAAGAUCUGAGUGGAUCAGAGGAAGAUGUUAUUGAAGGUGCAGUACAUCUCAUGUUGGGCAGUGAUGUCCUUCAGUUCAUUUGUUUUGAACCCAUUGAGACUAUCGUACAACUUAGUUUGUAAAGCAUUUUCAGGUAUGGUCUUCCCUCCCCCGGUAUUUGUGGUUACAGAACCUGCUGACACGGAUGGCCAGCUGUACUUGUGUUUCUCAUUUGAUCCUUAUAUUGCAGUAUCGGAGUUACAGAAGCUUAUUCGGCAACUCUUGCUUUUGCAGUUAUUUCCAAAAUAUCUGAUAUAUAGUAUGUGGCUUACUGUGACAUUAACCCAGGGAGACUUGAAAAAUUAUUCCUAUAAAAUGGUCCUGAAUCCUGAUUUAAUUUCACCUAACCUGCAGAGAAUAUUGCAUUUUUAUGUCUGCUUUGAAACUGUAUGUUGGCAAAAAGCCUAAAAAUCCCCAAAUGAAGAUGUUUCAUUAAAAUUUACCAAAAUAACCUAUUCAGUUUCAAAAGCUUUUUUUUUUUUUUUUUAAUUGUCAAUACAGGGAAGACUGCAGUCAUUGAGAAACGUAGGAAGAAAAGGUCUUCUGCAGGAGUAGUUGAAGAUAUGGGGUAACGUGUUCAAAAUAAUUUUUGUUUCUUAGAUAAAGCACUUCAAGAAAAGUUGCUAACAAAUAAUAUAUGUAAAAUACUUGGCAUCUGGUAUUUCUUCCAAAACAAGCAUGGUAUGUUGUGGAUCUUCUAAAGUGUUUAAAAUGUAAUUUCUUUCCAGGGGUGAAGUGCAGAAUAUGCUGGAAGGAGUUGGAGUUGACAUUAACAAGGCUCUUCUUGCCAAGAGAAAGAGACUAGAAAUGUAUACCAAGGCUUCUCUCAAAACUAGUAACCAGAAAAUUGAACAUGUUUGGAAAACACAACAAGAUCAAAGGCAGAAGCUUAACCAAGAAUAUUCUCAGCAGUUUCUGACUUUGUUUCAGCAGUGGGAUUUAGAUAUGCAGAAAGCUGAGGAACAAGAAGAAAAAAUACUUGUUGGUAUCAUGAUUAGGUUUAUAAUCAACCAAGUCUCAAGUAGGAAUGGACAACCUAGCCUUUUAUUGUGACCAGUGGAACUGAGCCAGGUUUCAUUAACCAUUGCUGGCCAUGUGUUUUAAACCUACUGAACUGUAAACCACAGACGUAUAGGCACAUACCAUACUCAUAAAAGGCAUUUAUAUUGUUUGGGGUUCCUGCAUUUCCAAGUGACAGAAAUUUGUCAAAGUACAAAAGAAGGAUCAUUGGUUUAUGUAAAAGAAGUCGGGGCAGUUUAGCUUCAGGCAUAGCCAGAUGGGAACAGGGAGGGGGUUGCUCAUGUAGUGUCAUCUGGGUUCUGUCAUCAGUACUUAGUAAGGUGUCUUGAUGUAGUAAGCAAGAUAGUUUUUACAGUCCUAGGCUUAUUACAAGUUUAGUAACCCCAGUGGACUGAGAAAAUCUUUCUCAAUAGCUCUGGCAAAAAAUUCCUCUGGGAAAAUAUGACUGAUGGGAGUUUGGAUCAUUUGCCCAUUCUUGAACCAAUCAUUGUAUAGUUAGCCCUCUGUAUAUAAGGGUUCCGCAUCUGUGUAUUCAACCAAUCGUGGAUGAAAAAUAUUUGGAAAAGGCUGGGCGUGGUGGUGGUUCAUGCCUGUAAUCCCAGCACUUUGGGAGGCCGAGGCGGGUGGAUCACCUGAGGUUGGGAGUUUGAGACCAGCCUGACCAAUAUGGUGAAAACCCAUCUCUACUAGAAAUACAAAAAUUAGCCGGGCUGUGAUGGCGUGUGCCUAUAAUCCAAGUUACUCAGGAGGCUGAGGCGGGAGAAUCACUUGAACCUGGGAGGCGGAGGCUGCAGUGAGCCGAGAUUGUGCCACUGCACUCCAGCCUGGGUGACAGAGGGAGACCCUUUCUUGAAAAAAAAAAAAAAAGAAAAAAGAAAAAAUGCAAAUUGGAAAAAUAAUCCAGUGUUACAACUAUACAGCAUUUACAUUGUGUUAGGUAUUAUAAGAGAUCUAGAAAUGAUUUAAAGUAUGUGGAAGGAUGUGCAUUGGUUAUAUGCAAAUAUGAUGCCAUUUUGUAACAGGAACUCGAGCAUCUGCACAUUUUGGUCUCCUGAGGGGUUGGGUGUCCUGGAACUGGUCCCCCCAGGAUACCUAAGGAUGUCUGUAGUCAGAACAUUGUUGACUUUUAAUGGCCAGACUUGUGUUACCUGCAAGUGAGGAUAUUGGGGGUAGGGAUGACAGUGUAAAAUAGAUAGGAUGGAUUUGUGGCACUGAUAGAUUAUUGAGCUGUAGUACUAAAAAGAGUAAGUUAGAAUGGUAAAGAAGUAGUGGUUAAAUACUAGGAUAGACAGAGAAACAGUAUGUAUAAUGGUUAGAGCCUGGAUGCCAGCAACAAUACUGUUUUGGAUCAAAUUCUUGUUUGAGCAAUUGUAGCUGUGAAACCAUGGACAGAUUAUGCCUCAGUUUACUCAUCUAUGAAAGGGGAAUGCUGAGUAUCUAUCUCUUAGAAAGUUUACCAUUACUAAUACUGUGUAGUGGUUAGAAUUAUUAGUAAUGACAAAAUCUAGGGUGGGAGUAUGUAAGUCAAUGGCUAAAGUAGGGUAGAGGCCAAAAUCAUUGAGAAACAGGUCACGAAACGGAAAACCAUUAUUAUUGGAAGGAUCAUCUGUGUGGACAUUGAAAUCACCAAGAAUUAAGACAUGACUUGAUUAUUGUUAAAAUUUCCCAUUCAGCAACUGGUAGAAUUAAUAUAUUGUUACAUAUUAGUGGUGAACAUAAAUUAUCUAAAUGUGGUCAUAAUAGUUGUUAAAAUUUUAAAAGCAUUGAUUUUUAACACUUUCUUUUAAGUUUAAUGUAGAAUUAUUUUUUCUAAAUUUAAAAUUUUACCCAAAUUGUUAUUACACAGUUUUUUUUCUUUUAUAUUUGUAGAAUAUGUUUCGACAGCAACAAAAGAUUCUUCAACAAUCUAGAAUUGUUCAGAGCCAGAGAUUGAAAACAAUUAAACAGUUAUAUGAGCAGUUCAUAAAGAGUAUGGAAGAGUUGGAGAAGAAUCAUGAUAAUCUACUUACUGGUGCACAAAAUGAAUUUAAAAAAGAAAUGGCUAUGUUGCAAAAAAAAAUUAUGAUGGAAACUCAGCAGCAAGAGAUAGCAAGUGUUCGGAAGUCUCUUCAAUCCAUGUUAUUCUGAUGACUCUUUGAAGAAAGAACUUGAACCUAAGUAAUAUGAUACAAUUAUAACGUUAGCUAAGAAGCAUAUUGUAAGUCUUUAGAAUAGUUUAAUUGUAACAUCUUUAAUCAUAAACCUGUUUCAUUGUAAGACCUCCCUUUCUGUUAAGUCAAAUCUAAAUAGUUAUGAGUUAGUUAGCAACUAUUCCUAAAGAAUAUGUAUUAAGCUUUCAGCUCUUUAGUAAUGAUAGUGAAUUUUUCUCUCUAACACUGUCAAUUAAAUAAAGACGAUUUAAUUUUA